AAAACUGCUUCUGAAGUUACUUUAUGUUUUGAAAUGCUUAUGCUGGGGGAGCAUCCUCUUUGUUGUUAUUUAGGCCACAUCACUGUCUUUAUUACUGGUGUCUGGAAUUAUACAAAACUAAGAAAUCUUAUAAAGGGCUACAUUUAUUUUUAAUUAAACUUUAACAUUCUAGAUUCAAUGUUUUUCUAGACACCUAACUCUAUGUCUGACAAUCCUUGAAAAUGUGUUGCUCAUACAAGAAAAUCAACAAUAGAGAAUGUGAGAUUGUCCACAUGAGAGAAAUUCUGAGGUUUGGCCAGUUCUGUGACUGGUCAAAAGGUCCAGUACUCUAAACACGUCUGUUCCUCUUGCUUUUGCACUUCCUCUUCCUCCUGAUAUCAGCAGCUGGGGGGAUGCCGAGGGGGAACCAGCAGAUAAUCCCCUGCCCAACCACUUACAUGAGGGUAUAUGGGGAGGAAACUGAAGCAACUUCCUUGAGAAAGUUUCCUUCCACUCUUACUGCCUAAUAUCUCCUUCCCACAGUUUAGACUCUCUCUUCUCCUCUCCCUGGUGCCAGGGCGCUGCUGAGCCCCGCCCAUGCUCUCAGGCUUGCACUGGCUCCAGCCAGCCCUGGGUCCCUCCACGACAGGGUUCUAGCAACUUCCCAGCCAGAAACUUCCCUGCUUGUUUGCCAGUCUCCCGACUGGCUGGUUUGCCUUACAGAGAUGGCCACCAGGUCCUCUCCACACCUCGCUUGCCUCAGACCAGAAGUUGGUUGCUGUAAACUCAGCCAUCACACCUACAUGCACAUCACCUACAAUUUAGCUCAUUAAAUUGUCUCACCAAGCCACCCGUGGUGAUCAGUCGUGGUCCUCAGUGAGGCAAAGCUGUGGGAUGUGAGAAGCAGUGGUGCUGUGGCCUACUCUGCAAGCCCCCUUAGCCCCUGCUUCGUGGGGCUGUGUCUGUCUGCAUCAGGACUCUUCACCACCAUGGUGAACGCUAUACCUUCCUGAGUCUACCCUGGUGCCUGUGGAGGGUUUAGUGAAAGCUCAGUGUUCCUGUUUAUUUUGUCUGGAGCAUUUUCUGCUGCUGCACAGCAUUCAAUUCCCCCUGAACUGCUACUACUGAACUCAGGCAGGCAGAACACAGGAGCGCUGACAUGAGCA
rnacentral:lncRNA from 1 species